rnacentral:tRNA from 1 species
AAGGAGUUAGCUCAAUUAAAGUGAUUGAUUUGCAUUCAAUUGGUAUAAGAUAAGAUCUUGCAGUCCUUA